GAUUUCUGGUUAAGUAACGCUAGCCCGCCCUUGCCAGGGGUGUGCGCUGGUUAGUUGCUUGCCAUCUUUCUAGAAAGCCAGCGUUUGUCAUUCACUUGGCGGACGUGACGCGAUCUAGAUCUUUUACUUUGAAAAAAUUAGAGUGUUUAAAGCAGGCUUACGCUAUGAAUACAUUAGCAUGGAAUAAUAAUAUAGGACUUUGGUUCUAUUGUGUUGGUCUAGAACUGAAGUAAUGAUUGAUAGGGAUAGUUGGGGGUGCUAGUAUUCAACGGCCAGAGGUGAAAUUCUUGGAUUCGUUGAAGACUAACUUAUGCGAAAGCAUU
rnacentral:rRNA from 2 species